rnacentral:rRNA from 1 species
GACCUCUGGUGUGCCAGUUGUUCUGCCAAGGGCAUGGCUGGUUGGCUACGUCGGGUUGUGAUAACCGCUGAAAGCAUCUAAGCGGGAAGCACGCUUCAAGAUGAGGGUUCCUGCAGAUGAAUCUGGUAAGGUCUCCGGUAGACGACCGGGUUGAUAGGCCAGGCGUGGACGCAUCGUAAGGUGUGGAGCUGACUGGUACUAAUAGACCGAGGACUUACACAACAUUC